rnacentral:rRNA from 1 species
AUUGAACGCUGGCGGCAUGCCUUACACAUGCAAGUCGAACGGCAGCACGGGGGCGAACCCUCGGUGGCGAGUGGCGAACGGGUGAGUAAUACAUCGGAACGUGCCCCGUACGCGGGGACGAACCAGUCGAAAGACUGGCUAAUACCGCAUACGCUCCACGGAGGAAAGCAGGGAGUCGCAAGACCUUGCACUAUGGGAGGCGGCCGAUGCCCGAUUAGCUAGUUGGNGAGGUAAGG